rnacentral:misc_RNA from 1 species
GCCAAAAGAUAACUGGCCGUACCUCUACUUUACAGCCUCCUGAAGUUUCAGUAAAUUAUUACAUUGAUCUUCAUCAGUGUUCAAUUUUUGCCCUUCAGAUAAUCGAUUCAAACAUUGUGCAUCAACCAAAAAACAAUCAUCAGGAGAGCAUGAGGAUCCUCUCCUUAGGAUACACAACUAAGGGAUAUCAGCAUUAAUGUUACCAACAGUUUCUCCCUACCCUUGGGGGAAGAGGAUACUCAUG